AUUGAACGCUGGCGGAAUGCUUUACACAUGCAAGUCGAGCGGCAGCACGGGGGCAACCCUGGUGGCGAGCGGCGAACGGGUGAGUAAUACAUCGGAGCAUGCCCAGUCGUGGGGGAUAACACUUCGAAAGAAGUGCUAAUACCGCAUACGACCUGAGGGUGAAAGCGGGGGAUCGCAAGACCUCGCGCAAUUGGAGCGGCCGAUGUCAGAUUAGCUAGUUGGUAGGGUAAAAGCCUACCAAGGCGACGAUCUGUAGCUGGUCUGAGAGGACGACCAGCCACACUGGGACUGAGACACGGCCCAGACUCCUACGGGAGGCAGCAGUGGGGAAUUUUGGACAAUGGGGGAAACCCUGAUCCGGCCAUGCCGCGUGAGUAAAGAAGGCCUUCGGGCUAUAAAGCUCUUUCGGACAGAAAGAAAUCUUUUGGGCUAAUACCCUGAGAGGAUGACGGUACUGUAAGAAGAAGCACCGGCUAACUACGUGCCAGCCGCCGCCGUAACAC
rnacentral:rRNA from 1 species